AACGCGAAGAACCUUACCAACGUUUGACAUCCCUAUCGCGGAUCGUGGAGACACUUUCCUUCAGUUCGGCUGGAUAGGUGACAGGUGCUGCAUGGCUGUCGUCAGCUCGUGUCGUGAGAUGUUGGGUUAAGUCCCGCAACGAGCGCAACCCUCGCCUUUAGUUGCCAGCAUUUAGUUGGGUACUCUAAAGGAACCGCCGGUGAUAAGCCGGAGGAAGGUGGGGAUGACGUCAAGUCCUCAUGGCCCUUACGCGUUGGGCUACACACGUGCUACAAUGGCGACUACAGUGGGCAGCCACCUCGCGAGAGCAAGCGGACCUCAUAAAGUAUGUCGUAGUCCGGAUCGGAGUCUGCAACUCGACUCCGUGAAGUCGGAGUCGCUAGUAAUCGUAGAUCAGAAUGCUACGGUGAAUACGUUCCCGGGCCUUGUACACACCG
rnacentral:rRNA from 1 species